AUUGAACGCUGGCGGCGGGCCUAACACAUGCAAGUCGAGCGGAUGACGGGAGCUUGCUCCUUGAUUCAGCGGCGGACGGGUGAGUAAUGCCUAGGAAUCUGCCUGGUAGUGGGGGACAACGUUUCGAAAGGAGCGCUAAUACCGCAUACGUCCUACGGGAGAAAGCAGGGGACCUUCGGGCCUUGCGCCAUCAGAUGAGCCUAGGUCGGAUUAGCUAGUCGGUGGGGUAAAGGCCUACCUUGGCGACGAUCUGUAGCGGGUCUGAGAGGAUGAGCCGCCACGCUGGUACUGAGACACGGCCCAGAAUCCUUCGGGAGGCAGGAGUGGGGAAUAUUGGACAAUGGGCGGAAGCCGGUACCAGCCAUGCGGCGUGGGUGAAGAAGGCCUUUUGGUUGUAAAGCACUUUAAGCGGGGAGGAGGCUCUUAAGGUUAAUACCCUUGAUGAGUGGACGUUACUCGCAGAAUAAGCACCGGCUAACUCUGUGCCAGCCGCCGCAGUAACAC
rnacentral:rRNA from 1 species